AGACUGCGUGUUAAAACUUUCUAUGGACAUAGCGGUGCUGUGAACAGUGCAAAUUUCAAUAUUCAGGGAGAUAAGCUGGCUUCAGGUGAUGCCGUUGGUUAUGUGAAAGUUUGGAACCUUCGUCAGCAAGAACUUGAGAAGAGCUUCAACUUAGGGUCAACUUCGGUCAACAAGGUUCACUUUCAUCCCCAUGGUAAUAUUAUCGCUGCUGCAACCAAUGAUGGAUAUGUUACGAUUAUUGACCUGACCACAGAAAAGGUGCAUUCUUGGAAUACCCACAGCGAUGGUGCUCUGUACCUGUUGUUCGACCUCAAGGAAUCCCUUCUCUUAACUGGAGGCGGUGAUGGUAAAUUGAGCAUC